rnacentral:lncRNA from 1 species
CUCGAACAUACCCUUUCAGUGAUAUUUGCCAGCAAAGGAAAACAUGAGUAUACCCCCAGUGGGGCAUCUGCCUCAGCAACUCGCAAUACUUUAAAUCCAGGAAUUGGUACCCAAAUCUGACUGUUACACUCAGGAACGAGAGGAUGAACAUCACAGCAGGUAGAUCAUAAUAGAAAUACGUCAGUUUCACAGCACCUUGGGAGAUGUCAGGACAGGUCUGAGUGUCUCACCACCUGCUGGGCCCUCCCCUGCUCGCUCAGAGACUCUCGGACAACACGCGGGCGGGCUGGCAGCUACGGUUUUCUGCAGUGUUUCCUGACAACGCAGCCAGAGCUAUUUAUGGACUUAAAAGUGGUUUUGUCACUGACGCUGAGAAAAAACAACCUGAUCUAGAACUAUCCAAUAGUGAAACCUGGCAGAAAGCACAGAGUGAAGGUACAAGUCUCCAUUACUGAUGCUAGCGUUCAUUGCAGUGACCGAGCCAGUGCAGUGACUGCCAUCGUGCAGCUAGUGGCAGCUCACACACUGUCAGAGCACAGGAAUUUCCAGGCUACAGACGAGAGCAACAGGUGGAGACUGAUCCUCAGAGGGACCAUUUAGUUGACUGAAAUUAAUUUGCUCAGAUAUUCUAACUACUGCUUCUAAUUAAGCCAAGUCCAUGAUCUUUAUAGAAGAGAAGUAAAGCUUAGAAAGAACAAGACGAAGCAUUUUGAGAUAAUAUAAGUAGAAUUUCUACUGAAGCAACUUUGGACUUAAUUAAAAAUGUAUUUGAUAAUCACAGUAAUGGGCUUCAUUUUAAUAAAC